rnacentral:rRNA from 1 species
AGUGAACGCUGGCGGUAGGCCUAACACAUGCAAGUCGAACGGCAGCACAGUAAGAGCUUGCUCUUACGGGUGGCGAGUGGCGGACGAGUGAGGAAUACAUCGGAAUCUACUUUUUCGUGGGGGAUAACGUAGGGAAACUUACGCUAAUACCGCAUACGACCUACGGGUGAAAGCAGGGGAUCUUCGGACCUUGCGCGAUUGAAUGAGCCGAUGUCGGAUUAGCUAGUUGGCGGGGUAAAGGCCCACCAAGGCGACGAUCCGUAGCUGGUCUGAGAGGAUGAUCAGCGACACUGGAAGUGAGACACGGUCCAGAGUCCUACGGGAGGCAGCAGUGGGGAAUAUUGGACAAUGGGCGCAAGCCUGAUCCAGCCAUACCGCGUGGGUGAAGAAGGCCUUCGGGUUGUAAAGCCCUUUUGUUGGGAAAGAAAAGCAGCAGGUUAAUACCCCGCUGUUCUGACGGUACCCAAAGAAUAAGCACCGGCUAACUUCGUG